UGCUCACCAGCUCCCCAAAGCACCGGGUCCCUAGUAGGGAGCAGGUCUCCCUACCCCCAGCAUGCAGGCCUAAACCAGCCCCCCACCCACAGGUCAUCGUCCUCAGGCCUCUCCUGCUCCGCUCUCCCCACUGCCCCGCCCCAUCAGACCAGCAGCUCCCCUGGCGAGCGGACCGGGGGAUCCUACACCCCCAGCUCCUAAAUCCUCAGGCCGGCUGCUCGGCUGCUCCGGACGCGCCAGGCGCUCCGCCGCCAGAGACUCAUCCGAGGCCCGUCAGGCGCAGCGGAGGCAGGAAGUGCAGGGCGGCGCGAGACUGGACCCCACCGAGGGCCACGGGCCGUUCCGAGGCGGGGGGCGCCCAGGGGGCCGGAGGACCGGAGGAUCGCAGCGCCUUGCACACAGCCCGCUUUCCACACAGGCGCACGGAGGAAGGGUCCUGGGUCCGACUCAAGACACACACAGCCGGCCGCGCGCGCCUGCAGCUCCGUCCCGCCGGACUCCGCCCGCGUGCAACAAAGACUGCAGGACCCGCCCUCUGUGGAGGCGAAGAAAAGACCAGAGAACAGAAGGGGCGAAAGAAGGAAGAAAGGGAAGAAAGAAAGAAAAGAAAGAGGGGAGGUGGGAGGGAGGCAGGGUAGUAGGGAGGGGCGGCCGCCGGCCCCCGCCCCGCUCUGGGCUCCUGCCCCCGCCCCGUUCCUCCCCACCCGCCCCCCCAGGGGCAGCGCAGGGUCAGCACCACAGACUUACACCCACCACCCGUGAGCCGAGGGCGCCCUCUGCUGGUGGAGCUGAGCCAGCUCUCCCGGCCUGGGCGCUCUGAGACCCCUCCAAGAAUCUGGAUUUUCCGGAAUUCCUGCCUGGUCCCCAAGCUCUGCCCGAGUAGGAGCCCCUCGGUGUGUGUCCCGGCCAGACAGCCCUGCCCCUCCUAGGAAAGGGACACGGAGGCCUCCUGAGGGUCUGGGGGGCUCACAGCCAGGCAGCAGGGGCCCUGGGGUCCCAAGAUGAUUCUGCUCCAAGGACAGCUCAGGAGAGAGGCUUGGGCCGCCCCCAGUGGGCAGCCUUUUCCCUUGCGAGGCAGGGUCCCCGGUUCCUCGACUUCAAGUGUACGUCUGCAUAGACAUAGUGGCUAGGCUGCGGCCCCCAGGCUCUCAGCAGGGCCCCCCUGGGAGCCCGGAGUCCCGCCAACACCAGCCUGACAUCCCAGGCCAGCCUCUGCCUCCACCCCUCAGCCAUCUGUCCUUCCGCUGCCCCUGCUGGGCCUCUGGCUGCCUGCUCCCUCUCUGCUCUGCUCCUAGGAUGCUCACCCUCCAUCUCCCGCUCUAGCGCGGGGACCUCCGCUUCUGUUCUCCACCUGGGCUGCCCUGGCCCUUGGCCAGUCCCUGUGGAGCUUCUCCCUCUGAGGCCCACAGACUAACCGUCACUCCCACAAGCUCCACCGGCAGCCCCUCUGCCCUCCUGGGGCACCUGUGGAGCACCCUGCCGCUCGGUUCCUUGACCUCCUCCAGGGUGGCCUUCCUCUCCACCUCAGCCACCAGCUCUCAGGGCCGUGGCCUAGGCUGUGCCUGAUGCCGCUGCCACUGCCGCACCUCUGACACCUGAAGAUCGGAUGCCCUGAUCUCAGACCAGAACCCUCCCUGACAGGCACACCACGUACUUGUCUCCUUCCAGUCGCUGGUCUCCUUUGUCUACUCUGUGACUACUUCCUUCCCCGGCUGCAUUCACGGCUCCAUCUCUGGCCUUUCAGCAAAACCAGGCUCAGCCUGGCCUCUCCGUAACAGCAACAGUAAAUAAGAACAAAAAGGAGGAGGAGGAGGCAGAGGAGAAGAGGAAGAAGAAGGAGAAGCAGCAGCAAGACUCCACGGCAGGCAGAGCUGAGGGCCCCUCCUGGUUACUUGGUGGAUUCCCUCCUGACACUGUUAUCACAGGUUAUCACUAUCUUCUUCAGUCGAUGGACCCCAGUCCACACAGCUGGGAAGGGACGUUAAGGGGACUGUAGUCUUUUCCUCCCCUGGACCCUCACGCGCUGCGACUGAUCCCCCCUUCCUCGAGCUUCCUCACUUGUCACUCCCUCUGUCUCAUUUCUGUCAGCCUCAUUGUAAAGUGGUAUGUACGGGUAGGUCAUAUUUUAAAGUCCAACCCUUGUCUGACUUUAUUUUUUUAUGUGUGUUUUUAAAUAACCUUUUUUAUAAUUAUGCAAGUACACACAUGUAUUAUAGGAAGUUAGAAAAUCAAGACAAACAUUUUCAAAGAAUCAAACAUUAUUACACUAAUAGGUGGCCUUAUUCUUGCUACGUGAGAGAUUACUUGGAUCUGCAAUCUGCUUUUUCCAAUCAUCUCUACUUUUUUUUAGGUUUUUUUUUUCUAAUUUUAGAGAGGGAGAGAGAGAAACAUCAACUUUGUUGUUCCACUUUUUAUGCACUCGUUGGUUGCUCCUUGUAUGUGCCCUCACUGGGAAUCGAACCCACAACCUUGGUGUAUAUUGGGACAAUGCCCUACUCAGCUGAGCUACCCCACCAGGGCCUCACCUCCACUUUUUUAUUACAGUAAAUUUUCAUCUCAUCGAAUAUUCAAACUAUAUUCAGAUUUCCCCACUCUACUCCAAAAUCUCUUUUAUAACUGGUUUACUCAGAAUAAAAUCCAAUCUAGGAUCACCUGUUGCAUCUGGUUAUUACGGCAAAAGUCAUUUCUGAAAAAGAGAAUACAUGUAAACAAACAAACAUAAAUAAAAAGAUAGUACUUGUUCAAGACACUA